GGUGCCCUUAUGAUCAUGUGAGUUUAAGAAUCUAAACAUUGCUCCAGUUGUGCCUGCCAUACCUCAAUAUCAAAUUGGAAAAUGCAGUCCCUGCCCCAACACAUUCACAAGGAACAAAGAGUGAUGCUUUGCUUGAAAUCCUAUUCAAUGACUUAUAUGUGUGAAUUGCAAUUGAAAGCAUAACUUGCUUUCCCUCCAACCUCUAUUAGAACAAUAAUUAGCAAAAGAUAGAGCAUGUAAUCAAGUAAAAAUAUGUUUGUUACAUUUGAUGCACACCUUCAAUAUUGCAUCCACAUUUAAGCCUUCCAAUAACUUCUCAACAAAAUCACUAGGACAAUAAUCAUUAUGUACAACUCCAAAAUUAUAUAUACAAAGUUGUCACAUGUAAAUGCUAAAAAAUCUUGUAAGUAAAGUAGUCAUUUCUAGCCCCAAAAUUGUGUCAACACCACACCAAGAAUGGUGUUCUCUAACAUAUAAUCAUAAUGAUUGUGUAAAUUAUCGAAUGUUACAACACGCCAAUAUGAAAUAUCCGACUCCAUGACUUCUGUGACGCUCAUAUGUGCUCCACAAUUGCAUCUUCUCAAUGAUUGAUAUCCGACUGCAUGACUUCUCUGACGCUCAUAUGUGCUCCACAAUUGCAUCUUCUCAAUGAUCGAUCUCUUUCUCCUUUAUUUUCAGACAACUCUUUGUUUGUUAAGUGGCUGCCCUAUGGCAAACAUAAUAUCUUCUACUUGUGUACCCGUAAAAAAGUACUCAAGUUUGAUUUUGAGUACCUGCAAAAAAAUGACUCAAAUAGAUAAUAUUGAUACAAUAGAGAUUUUUGGGGCUUGUUCAUUAAAAAUUAUAAUGGCUAUGUAAAUCAAAGCCACAAGGACUUCCAUUUGGGCCAAAACUGGCUGAAUUCAAGCAAAUAUAAUUCCAGUCAUACAAACAAAAAGAAACCUAAAUCUGAUCCUGCGUCUAGAAUUUAAUGAUGACAAAAAGUUAAACAUGAAGUUAACUGAUCCUGUGUUGACGAGAGCAUUUAGGGGAUAUAUUCAUAACAGGUAAUAUAUUCAUCAUUCCUGGGUGCAACAACUAGCCUAAAAGUCUGUCAAAUUUAGAUUUAAAUGACAUUAGCAAAUUUAGACAGUUUCUAUGAGAGAUAUCAGCAGCAUUUUGCAACUUGCAACUUGAAUGUUAAUUUAAAGAUGCCAAAUAUAAAUAUUUAAUGUCCAUGAAAGGGAAAGAGCAAAGUAUAGAUGGGACUGAAAUUGAUUUAGCUCACUAUGGCACCUUUGGAUGGAAGGCCUUGCAUCCAAACCUUGUGGUAUAUUCACCUUGCAAGGACUUGUACCUGUGUUCGUGAUGCACACAGGUAUGGGGCAUCAGAUUCACCUUGCUGUGAUAAACAGGAUUUGGCCAUGCGAUUGUAUUAUUAAGAGACAACAAAGUCCAACACUAGUUACUAAUAUCCAUUUGAUGAUUGAGUAGCCAAAAAAUGAAUAAUGACUUAGUUGGCUGAAUGUGUCUACUGAAGCAAAACAGAAGAUCAAGUCGCAAUCAAUUUAGUGAAUGGUUAGUGAACAAGAUGAAGAGUUCAGAAGAAUCUGUGCUAGUAUGGGUGAUAUGUCUAACACAGGUAUGACAUCCAAACAGAAUCAUCCAUGUAACAUAGAAAACAAAGAAUACCUCCUGCCCCUGUUCUUAGGCAUACAGUAUUCAAAAUUAAGUUUCAUUGUUCUCUAUGUCAGUCCAAUCCAGACCUUUGCAUAUUAGGACCCAAAAGAGCAACCAAAUUCUAGGCUCUCAAUAGGAGGUUCACCACCCAAACACAGUAGCUCCUCAUGACUGUGGUCUAAAAGGAAUAAGAACCAGCCACAUCCCCUAAUCCUCUCCUGAAUGACCAAUGCUCUCUACCUGCCUGCCUCAAAAAUGGCAGCAAUUAUGCUUGUCUCAUAUACACCAGAAUAUAGGAAUGCUACAUAAAUUUCACAAAGGAGAGGCCCUUGUUGCCAACAUGUCAAAAAUGGCCCUACUGUAUAGGGCAUCACCAUCUCCAAACCAAAAAGAUGCAGGACGUAAAUAUCAAAUGACAUAGGCAUACACAAAAUGGAUGACAUGAUUGUAUUAUCCAUAAAGUACAACUACCUUCAAUGGAUAUGACAACUACAUUUAAUCAGUUCCAUGCGAACUAGAGUGAUAUUAGAAGAGUUUUUCCAAUUAACAUAGGGAUUCAACGUCACUUUCGCACACUGCAACAGAGUGUAAAUCUCUCUCUCCAUUAUAAACCAUUUAAGGGAAAAGCAUGAACGAUUAACAAACUAGCCUAACCAAUAUUCUAAGCCUCACAUCCUUUCUCCAAUGCCAUUGGAAAGGCCAAUCAUAAGACUUAAACCCCCAUUUUCUAAGUCAAAACAAUAACAACAAAUGAAAUAUGUAAAAUGCUUGGAUGCAUAAGAGUGCUUCAAUAUGGGUAACCUGAAAUCCUAGUAUGCAAAAUACUGAAACUGUAUAUUUAGUGUUGCUGCCAAAGAAAACUCAGGAAAGUAGGCCCCAAUUCCAAAGAAGGUGAUCAAGAGGAGGCCUCAUUUCAGAAUAAAAAUAAAAGAGAACCCCAAGUAGGCCUUGAUUUCGAAAAGAUAAUCACAACAAAAGUUCUCGGAUUUCAGGAAGAAUUCCAAGGGAGAACUUCUUAAACAGAGCAAAGGAAACAAAACCGAAAAGAAAAACAAAAGAAAACACAAGAUUGUCGAAGUUGAAUUCAAGCAAAACCUCAAAACAAUAGCAUUUUUCUUGGGCACUUGAACUAGAGUGAAUUUAUUGAUCUACGGGAUUUAAAACACACAAAUCACAGAAACCGAACAAAACCCACGUCCCCAAAUCCAUAGAGAAAAACAUGCUAUGAAGAAAAACCCACAAAAUUCUGAAGUUGAAUCCUACCUAAAACAGAAAAAACCUAAUUGUAAUGUAUACAAUUUCGCUUUUGCAAAGUAAAAAACCUAUAUAGAAAAUCACACCAACCGAGACAACGCAUUUACAACCAAUCCAUGGGUUCUCAGAAAUGGUAAGAGUACACUUGAAUUUUACAGAUUAUUCCCAUCAUUUUGCUUAUAAAAAAUGAAUUGAGAGAGAGAGAGAGAAUGGCAAUCAUAAGAUAUUCUUACCUGGUUUGAAUGGAGAUCUCCUGGCUGGCUUUUACAAGGCAUGAGCUGGGUCCACAUCCAUGGCUGGAAGGGCGAAAAUUAGGGCUUUCUCGAGUUGAAAACCAAGGUCUCGAGCUUUCUGUCGAUGGAGGGAGAAAGACGGGAGGGAGUCUUAGGCGAGGUUAAAAUUUUAAAAGUUGUUCGCUUUUUAUUAUUGUGAAAAUAAUUGUCACAAUAAAAUAUAAGGGCUGAGUAAAAAUGUGGUCACCAG
rnacentral:lncRNA from 1 species